rnacentral:ncRNA from 1 species
AGCCCGGUGGCUGGGUCAUGCCACACUCUGACUGUUGGACCUUGCCGGGCCUCGUGCCCGGCUUUUCUU